CCAAUAGCGUAUAUUAAAGUUGUUGCAGUUAAAAAGCUCGUAGUUGAAUUUCGGGUCCAGUAGGUUGGUCGUGCCACUGGUAUGCACUGGCCUUACUGGUCCCUCCUUCUUGUAGAACCGUGAUGGCAUUAAUUUGUUGUUGCGGGGAAACAGGACUGUUACUUUGAAAAAAUUAGAGUGCUUAAAGCAGGCUCGCGCUUGAAUACAUUAGCAUGGAAUAACGAAAUAGGACGAUCGAACCUAUUUUGUUGGUUUCUAGGAUCGACGUAAUGAUUAAUAGGGAUAGUUGGGGGCAUUAGUAUUCAAUUGUCAGAGGUGAAAUUCUUGGAUUUAUUGAAGACUAACUACUGCGAAAGCAUUUGCCAAGGAUGUUUUCAUUAAUCAAGAACGAAAGUUAGGGGAUCGAAGACGAUCAGAUACCGUCGUAGUCUUAACCAUAAACUAUGCCGACUAGGGAUCGGAUGAAGUUAAUUUUUUAAUGACUCAUUCGGCGCCUUACG
rnacentral:rRNA from 1 species